GUGAGAGACAUUUAAAUAACUGUUGACAUACUGCUGAGGACAUAAUGAGAGAAGGUGUCACGUGAUCUCUGAGGUCUACAUACAGAAUGGUCUUGUUUUUAUUUUUCUAGCCGUGUUACCUUUUGCUUCAGUGGUUCAGUACUAACAUGUCAACAUCAUUAUGAAAUACUGUAGUCAUAAUAACUUAGGAAAUACUGGAUAAGCCACCAAACACUGGUAAUAACAGGUGCUGAAGGAAUUGUUACUGGGAAAGAAGAGCAAGAAGACAAAAUCUGCUUUCCAAACCCAGUCCAGUUGAUUCCUGUUACUUUCUGAAAGGUGCUACAGAAACUGUUCAGCAAGAGCUCCUCAGCAUAAACCUAUCAGUC